UUAAUUUUUUGCAUCACAAUUUUAAUUUUGACUGAAGAAAACUAUUAAAAUCAUGAUGAUGUGACAUUUGUUGGUCUGUUCCAAACAAACAUGUUUUCUUACACCUGGAGAACUGGAUCUGUAGGCCGGGGUGUCUCUGCAGCACUUCAUUGUAAAGCUGUUCUGUCACACAUUUUACAGCUUCUGCGAUUUGAAUAUUGCACUUGGCCAUAUUGCGAUUUCGUUAAUAUUUCGAUUAAUUGUGCAGCCCUAUUUUUUUAUGUACAUUACGGAAAAUAUAAAAAUAGUUUCCAACAAAAACCUUUUUUAUUUAAACCUGCAAUAACUGUUUUUUUUUUUUUGGCCACUUGAGGACAGCGGAAACAAACUGUGAAUGCAACACUGACAUAUCGCAUUUUAAGUUGAUACGGUGAACUUGUUAGCAAACGGUUGCUUAUUUACACAUCCAGCAGUUACGGAGAAACAUUGUAAUUCAUUUGGAGUGGUGUUUCUGCUGAAUAUAAGUCCAAUAUUCACUCUCCUUUUUAGUUGUUUGGGGGUUUUUUUUGCCACUACCAAGUCACUGAAGUCGAUACCCAGCCCUAUAGAUCACUAACUCUGUUGUUGUUUUGUGCUCCUUACACCAGCGUGCUGUUCUAGAAAGGAGGCAAAACGCCCAGACGUCUUAGAGAAACCUUGAUAUGAGUAAACUUCCAAGCUGUUCCACAAAGGCAACUCAGACCUAAUGUAAAGAGACUCAUUUAAGCUUGGGCUGAUAGCUGCAUUUUCACAAUUUAAGAAAUACUCCUGAGAUGUUGAGUGCAGAUCAGAUCAGAGACAUAGUGCAGACAAGUUUUGUUGCAGGGGUUUCCACCAGGAAACUGGUUAGCAGAGGUGGUAAGCUGGGAUCAAGGCAUCCCUCUAGAGGUACUGCACCCAGAGUAUGCCAGCUGAAUGCACCCCAAAAAAUUACACCUCCCCCACCAGCGUGUAUAUUUAUAAUCAUGAACGAAAGAUCUUAUAUUCGCAGCAUUCUUCCAUCAAGGUAAAAUACGCUGACACGUCAGACCAGGUGACCAAAAUCUUUGGGGCAUUUAGGAGAGGUACCCUCUGUGGUUGUCAGCUGGCGUGACCCCAUAGAGGAAAGAGUGUGGUGCGCUGGUACUUGUACCACAGAACUGCACUGUGAUGUUAACUGUUACGCUGCAGCCUGAACAAUACUUGUUAUGGCCCGAGCCACUGAACGUCACCAGUGCUCCUCUAUGAAGGGCUGCCUCCCACAUGGCAGACGUUCUGAUGAGGUGUCGUGUGUUCUGGUCCAGUUAUUGUGCACAUUUGACACGGAAAAGCCCAGAAACUCUGCUCGUCUUGGUGAUGUACAUACUGGCCGUCUGUCAUCCACAAUCAUGCUUCUAUUCAAAGUCCAUUAGAUCACGCUUAGAGCCCACUCUCGAUAAUCUGUUCACAUGCAGUGCAGGUGUGGAAAUGGAGUUGCACACACAAGUUUAUGCAGUGAUGCACACAAAUGUCAGGGAGGGCCCACUACUUCGGCAAGGGAAGGGUUUCAAUUUUUCUACAGGAAAAGUGCAUUGAGAAAACUUAUAAAUAAGACUGAAUUGAACUGGUGCUUAGUCUAAUAUUCCUGCAAUUCACACCCCAACUUCUGAGGAUUUCUCAUAUUGCUUUGAAGAGCCACAUACAAAGUUAUUGUCACUAAGUUAAUAAUGACUGGUAUGUGUCGCUGGAUUUUACAUGUAGUAUCUUUGCUGCUAUUUUGUCCACUCCAUGUUACAGGCUGAAUGUGACUUGUGCUGUGGCUGUCAACAAGUGUGUGUGUGUGUGUGUGUGUGUGUGUGUGUGUGUAGCUUCUUAUGGGGACGAGUAAAUCUGCCCUGACUCAUCCAGACCUGCUGCGUUGGAGACACACACACACACACACAAUCUGUCCAAAACUGUCAUGUUAAAACCGCUGAUAACGGGGCAAAAAUAGGACAGUGUCAAAACUGCUGCCAGGGAAAAAGAUGAUUACCAAUGGACGUUAUGUAACGUCUGACAUUAGCAGCAAACGUUAUCUACGGGGCACUGAGAUAACGUCAGCUAGGUCAGAUCAGUCAUAUAACAUGGGUUAUUCAUGCGCUAUAAACGCUGGGACUGGAGUGACUGGUUUCUGCUGUCUGGUGGCCAGGCACCCACACAGUGCAAAAUAAAAGACCACUUGUUGAUGAACAACGUUAACGUUAGUUUCAUUACCGUCAACACAGGCUACCAGUUAUUUCCCGGCAGUUUAAAGUCGCAGUGUGGAGCUCAAAUGCUACUGCCGUGUUAGCAUGCGUGUAAACAAUCGAGCAGACAAACAAAUCAAGCAUGCAUUGGCCCAGAAGAAGGGUCACCAGUCUGUUUAAGGGGUAUCACAAACAUUAGCAGCCUGCAGGUUGUCCACAAGGAGGAGCUGUUCGGUUAUUGGCAGACAACCGUCUGGAGGAAAGGAGAAUAAUAGCUGCAGCAGCUUAGACCUGCUGAUGUGCACAUUAAUGUUGCCUCUUACAGCAGUCCCUUCCAACCACAAGAGAGACAGAGUGCCAGUGUGACAACAUGUAGAAAGUCACCAGAGAAGCUGGAUGUCAGACAGACCACUUUGUGGGAAAAAGGACUGCGGUCACACAAUUGUCUAAAAGAACACUAAGCAACAGGAAGAAUACAGGUAUGUUGAGAGGUCAAGUUCUUAGUUUGCAUGCAAGUCAUCAUCUCCACUGUACUAUUCUGGCCAUUACUCAAAAUUUUGUUAUUUGGGUAAUAUAUACAUUACAUUAGGCCUGUUGCGAUAAUUACAUUAUUGACUUAUUGUAUGAUAUAUGAACAUAAUAGUAAAGACUUGACAAGUGUUUUCCUGCCUCAGUCCAUCCCUGCACUAGAGCCCCACCAGCCUCCAUUUAAAAAAAGUAAGUUGUAACACACAUACAAACAUAUCAUUACUCAAAAACUGAUUGACAGCUGUCCAAGACUUCUAUGAAAUGUAUUAAAGGUGUAUUGAACAAACAAUUACAAUUUAAGACUUUAAAUUUAAAUGGGAGGUUUAAAGCCUGUGUACU